rnacentral:rRNA from 1 species
GACGAACGCUGGCGGCGUGCUUAACACAUGCAAGUCGAACGGAAAGGCCCUGCUUUUGUUGGUUUCUCGAGUGGCGAACGGGUGAGUAACACGUGAGUAACCUCCCCUUGACUUUGUGAUAACUUCAGGAAACUGGGGCUCAUACCGGAUAUGAGCUCCUGCUGCAUGGUGGUGGUUGGAAAGUUUCGGCGGUUGUGGAUGUACUCGCGGCUUAUCAGCUUGUUGGUGGGGUAGUGGCUUACCAAGGCUUUGACGGGUAGCCGGCCUGAGAGGGUGACCGGGCACAUUGGGACUGAGAGACGGCCCAGACUGCUACGGGAGGCAGCAGGGGGGAAUAUUGCACAAUGGGCGGAAGCCUGAUGCAGAAACGCCGCGUGCGGGAUGACGGCCUUCGGGGUGAAAACAGCUUUCGACGGUGACGAAGAGUGAGUGACGGUAAUGGGUAAAGAAGCAACGGCUAACUACGUG